UAGGGAAUCUUCCACAAUGGACGCAAGUCUGAUGGAGCAACGCCGCGUGAGUGAAGAAGGUUUUCGGAUCGUAAAGCUCUGUUGUUGGUGAAGAAGGAUAGAGGCAGUAACUGGCCUUUAUUUGACGGUAAUCAACCAGAAAGUCACGGCUAACUACGUGCCAGCAGCCGCGGUAAUACGUAGGUGGCAAGCGUUGUCCGGAUUUAUUGGGCGUAAAGCGAGCGCAGGCGGAAGAAUAAGUCUGAUGUGAAAGCCCUCGGCUUAACCGAGGAACUGCAUCGGAAACUGUUUUUC
rnacentral:rRNA from 1 species